GCCGGGCGUGGUGGCUCACACCUGUAAUCCCAGCACUUUAGGAGGCUGAGGCGGGUGGAUCACUUGAGGUCAGGAGUUCGAGACCAGCCUGACCAACAUGGUGAAACCCCGUCUCUA
rnacentral:SRP_RNA from 2 species